UACAGAGGUCUCGAGCGUUGUUCGGAUUCAUUGGGCGUAAAGGGCGCGUAGGCGGCGGGGUAAGUCUGGUGUGAAAUCUCGGAGCUCAACUCCGAAAUUGCACUGGAUACUGCUCUGCUAGAGGGCUGGAGAGGAGAUCGGAAUUCACGGUGUAGCAGUGAAAUGCGUAGAUAUCGGGAAGAACACCCGUGGCGAAGGCGGCUCUCUGGGACGGUACUGACGCUGAGACGCGAAAGCGUGGGGAGCAAACAGG
rnacentral:rRNA from 1 species